CACGUAGGGCGCGAGCGUUUGUCCGGAAUUAUUGGGCGUAAAGAGCUCGUAGGUGGCGGGUCACGUCGGGUGUGAAAGCCCGGGGCUUAACCCCGGGUCUGCAUUCGAUACGGGCCUGCUAGGGUCCGGCAGGGGAGACUGGAAUUCCUGGUGUAGCGGUGAAAUGCGCAGAUAUCAGGAAGAACACCCGUGGCGAAGGCGGCUCUCUGGGACGGUACUGACGGCUGAGACGCGAAAGCGUGGGGAGCAAACAGG
rnacentral:rRNA from 1 species